AUUGAACGCUGGCGGCAGGCCUAACACAUGCAAGUCGAGCGGCAGCGGAAAGUAGCUUGCUACUUUGCCGGCGAGCGGCGGACGGGUGAGUAAUGUCUGGGAAACUGCCUGAUGGAGGGGGAUAACUACUGGAAACGGUAGCUAAUACCGCAUGACCUCGAAAGAGCAAAGUGGGGGAUCUUCGGACCUCACGCCAUCGGAUGUGCCCAGAUGGGAUUAGCUAGUAGGUGAGGUAAUGGCUCACCUAGGCGACGAUCCCUAGCUGGUCUGAGAGGAUGACCAGCCACACUGGAACUGAGACACGGUCCAGACUCCUACGGGAGGCAGCAGUGGGGAAUAUUGCACAAUGGGCGCAAGCCUGAUGCAGCCAUGCCGCGUGUGUGAAGAAGGCCUUAGGGUUGUAAAGCACUUUCAGCGAGGAGGAAGGCACCAUACCUAAUACGUGUGGUGAUUGACGUUACUCGCAGAAGAAGCACCGGCUAACUCCGUGCCAGCAGCCGCGGUAAUACGGAGGGUGCAAGCGUUAAUCGGAAUUACUGGGCGUAAAGCGCACGCAGGCGGUUUGUUAAGUCAGAUGUGAAAUCCCCGCGCUUAACGUGGGAACUGCAUUUGAAACUGGCAAGCUAGAGUCUUGUAGAGGGGGGUAGAAUUCCAGGUGUAGCGGUGAAAUGCGUAGAGAUCUGGAGGAAUACCGGUGGCGAAGGCGGCCCCCUGGACAAAGACUGACGCUCAGUGCGAAAGCGUGGGGAGCAAACAGG
rnacentral:rRNA from 1 species